AGAGCUGGACAUGACUGAGCGACUGAACUGAACUGAACUGAACAUCUAGGACACACUUGUUCUGUGCUCUGGUCUCCACCCAGUGAACCUUGGAUACUGGGGUUGGUUGAUUGUAGUAAUGUCUGAAUUUUUUCCCACCACCUGUAUCCAGGCCUUUCAUAAUGCCCUCCUGCACUGACUUUUGGCACAGUCACUUGUCUUGAUUUGGCCAAGGGAGCAACCUGAAAAGUGCCUCUAUAUUGGGGCUGGUCCCCUUGCUGGUCUUGCAACUACUGCUGCUGCCACCAAAUGAUCAAGCACAAGCUUGCUUCCUGGAGGAGAUACCACAUGAUCAGAGAUAAGCCAUCCCACUCGUGCCAUCAUAGACUAGCCAGUUGCCGGUCAACUCUACAGCUGAUCACAGAUGUAUGAGUGCCCAGCUGAUAUUAGCAGAGUCUGGUCCCAAGCUGCAAGAACCACUCAGGCACAAGAGGCCUACACUGCAACUUCUCAAAUUGGAUUAACCUAGUAGGAACAAAAGAAUAGAAAUCAACAAAUUUUCAGAACUAGAAAGCAAAUGGAGGACCGCUCACUGACCAAGCAGGGUGAAUAACACUCCAGUGCCUAUAAAGAGGGAGUCUGAUGAAAAGGAGACCCACCCACCUAACAGAUACUCCAGAGAGACUCAAUACGGCAGGAAAUUGAAAAGUUCUUCGCUGGAGACAAGACCUCGACAUACUGACCUUUGGAAGCUCCUAGUAAAAAGCCUGCCUCACUCCUUGUUUAGCCUACUCAACAGCUGACAAUCACCUCUAUCCCUAAAUUAAAUAUGAACAUAAGAUAAAGGAUCAUCAGAUAUUUGAGCAAAGCUUUCAGACGGUAAAGCAUCUGCCUGCAAUGCGGGAGACCCAGGUU